rnacentral:snRNA from 1 species
GAAGCCGGGUUACGGUGC